rnacentral:misc_RNA from 1 species
GGGUGAUCUAAUCUCCUCAAAACAAGAAUCUCUCUUGCCAUGAAUUUUACACUCUCCGGCUCUAAAUUAUCAAACCUUACUUUCUUCAAAGCUACUAUUUUUCCUGUUAUGAGAUCCCUCGCUUUAUAUACAUUGCUAUAUGUUCCUUGGCCAAUCUUAUCAAGCUUCUCGAAGGUGUUUGCCCGGCGAGGAGUCCAGUCACCGAUUGCAUCACCGGCGACCGCCAUUAACCACGAAG